rnacentral:rRNA from 1 species
AAUGAACGCUGGCGGCAUGCCUUACACAUGCAAGUCGAACGAGACCUCCGGAUCAAGUGGCGCACGGGUGCGUAAAGCGUGGGAACAUGCACCUAGACUCGGCCUAACUCCCCGGAAGGGGUGCUAAAACCGGUUCAUGUACCCGGACCAAAGAGUUGUCGACUUUGGAUGGGCCCGCGAUGGAUUAGCUAGUUGGUAGGGUAAAAGCCUACCAAUGCGACGAUCCAUAGAUGGUCAGAGAGGAUGAUCAGCCACACUGGGACUGAGACACGGCCCAGACUCCUACGGGAGGCAGCAGUGGGUAAUAUUGCACAGUGGGCGGAAGGCUGAACCAGCAAGGCCGCGUGAGUGAUGAAGGCCUGAGGGUUGUAGAGCUCUUUUACCCGGGAGGAUAAUGACAGUACCGGAAGAAUAAGCUCCGGCUAACUCCGUG